UGGACGCAGUCGUAGUGGCUGUUGUGGUCGGCUUUGUGAGGAUCCAGGUCGUCCCCGGAGUUGAGGAGGGCGUGGCCGUGGAGCUGGUGGCUGGGGUACUGGGGCAGUGGCUGUAGUCGUCACAGCAAAGCACACGCACGUUGUAGUUGAAGCACAUGUUGAACCUGCCUGUCUGGUCUUCGUUCUUGCAGGUCAGCCCCGUCUCCAGGCUGCAGGUCAGCACCUGCCCGACCUGGUCGAUGCUUACCUCGGGGUAGUUCUCCGCCCGGCACUCUAUGCUCUUUGGUGCCCAGCACAUCUUGCCCCCAGCAGCCCUGAUGUUUUCAAAAGUUUCCAUGUCCCC
rnacentral:lncRNA from 1 species